rnacentral:rRNA from 1 species
UACGGAGGAUCCAAGCGUUAUCCGGAUUUAUUGGGUUUAAAGGGUGCGUAGGCGGUUUUAUAAGUUAGAGGUGAAAAUUCGGGGCUCAACUCCGGACGUGCCUCUAAUACUGUAUGACUAGAGAAUAGAUGCGGUAGGCGGAACGUAUGGUGUAGCGGUGAAAUGCGUAGAGAUCAUACAGAACACCGAUUGCGAAGGCGACUUUCUGGACUGUAACUGACGUUGAGGCACGAAAGUGUGGGGAGCAAACAGG